rnacentral:rRNA from 1 species
GAAGCGGCAACAGCUCAAAUUUGAAAUCUGGCGCAAGCCCGAGUUGUAAUUUGCAGAGGAUGCUUCAGGGCAGCGACCGGUCUAAGUUCCUUGGAACAGGACGUCGUAGAGGGUGAGAAUCCCGUAUGCGACCGGUUGGCACCCGUCACGUAGCUCCUUCGACGAGUCGAGUUGUUUGGGAAUGCAGCUCUAAAUGGGAGGUAAAUUUCUUCUAAAGCUAAAUACCGGCCAGAGACCGAUAGCGCACAAGUAGAGUGAUCGAAAGAUGAAAAGCACUUUGGAAAGAGAGUUAAAAAGCACGUGAAAUUGUUGAAAGGGAAGCGCAUGCAACCAGACUUGUCGGCGGUGUUCCGCCGGUCUUCUGACCGGUCCACUCGCCGCCGGCAGGCCAGCAUCAUCUGGGCGCGCCGGACAAAGGCGCGGGGAAUGUAGCUCCUCGGGAGUGUUAUAGCCCCGCGCACAAUACGGCGCCGCUCGGGUGAGGUCCGCGCUUCGGCUAGGAUGCUGGCGUAAUGGUUGUCUGCGGCCCGUCUUGAAACACGGACCAAGGAGUCUAACAUCUAUGCGAGUGUUCGGGUGUCAAACCCCUACGCGGAAUGAAAGUGAACGGAGGUGGGAAGCGCAAGCUGCACCAUCGACCGAUCCUGAUGUCUUCGGAUGGAUUUGAGUAAGAGCAUAGCUGUUGGGACCCGAAAGAUGGUGAACUAUGCCUGAAUAGGGUGAAGCCAGAGGAAACUCUGGUGGA